AGAAACCCUGGAAUUAAAAAAGGGCAAUCCUGAGCCACUAACUUAUAGUAUUUA
rnacentral:tRNA from 26 species